UGGAUCUAGAUGCUAUAGUUCAUAUAGCUAC
rnacentral:piRNA from 1 species